AAAGAGGGGAAGGAGGAAACACAACAUUGAAGAAACCUGGAAGGAAGUAGUGAUAAGCAGGGACGCACAUUGAGGAAGGGCCAUGUGAACACAUAGUGAGAAGACAGCCAUCUGCUAACCGGGAAGAGAACUCUCUUCAGAUCCCAACCAUGCAGCCUGAUCUUGACCUUCUAGCCUCCAGAACGAGUUGCCACACAUUGCUAUUUGAAUCAUAUCUGAUGCAAAAUAUCUUCAUACGGCCACUGUUCAGAAGCUAUGCAGUAUUUCAGGAGGAUGAUUUUUAAGCUUACGAAACAGGAGUUACAUCUGUUCCAAUCCAUCCUCCACCCUUUCCUGCCUUACUAAGUCCUGGAGAUUAACCUGUCCUCUCUUCUACACCUGGACUCCUGCCUUCAGCGUUCUGUGGGUUUGGUCAAUAACGAGCAUUGAUAGGGGAUUUGAGGUUGGAAGGAGAAAAGGAUCAGAGUCCAUGGCAACACUGUUUCCAAGGUUUCAGUUGUGAAUGUCUUCCUCCAGACAUCUGGGAGACAGAUUGUUUUACAGAAGAGAAGGAGGCAACAAAACAUUAAAGGAAUACUCCGUAAGCCAUGUGACAGGAGGUACUACAUGUAUAGCAGUGCUUCCUGAAAUCAGACUGUGCCUCUCCAGACAAUACCCAUUUUAUUAAAAUGAAAUAUCAACUCUUCCUCAAGCUGUCAAGUUAAAAAAAGCAAACUUUAAUGCAAACUCUAUCAAUCUUUCUACUAAACGAUUCAUUGUAGAUGUGAAAUGGCUCCAUGAAGGAAUAAAAGCUGAAACUCUGAAACUUACCUGCUACCCUUCUGGCCCAAAGCCAGUUCAUCACUAAAUCUACACUGUGCUCUACUUCUGCGUAUUCCAGCCAGCCUCCUGUUUCAGAUUUUGGCACAAAUGACAAACUGCUGAUAGAGAAGCCACAAAAUGUUAAGAUGAGGUCAUCUGGGAAGAAGCAGGGAAAUGAAAGUAUGGAAUUUCUUGGUUGAAGCCUGAGAAAGGCCAAGUAAGCAAGAACACUCCAUUGCUGAAGAACCAACAGACAAGAUUGCCUUGGAGCCACUGUGAUGAUGAGCCACUGUCUUCACAGUUGCUAAGGCAACUUGAUCAAUGGACUUAGAAGGACCACUUUUCUGUCUCCUGGGAGAAAGGCAGUUAGGGAGUCUUUUUUAUUAUUCAUUCAUAGGUUGCCCUAAUGUUAAAGAACCCGCCUGCCAAUGCAGGAGACA